rnacentral:rRNA from 1 species
UACGUAGGGUGCAAGCGUUGCCCGGAUUUAUUGGGCGUAAAGGGCGCGUAGGCGGCUCUGCACGUUCGUUGUGAAAUCGCCCGGCUCAACUGGGCGGGGUCAGCGGAUACGGCAGAGCUUGAGCAAGCUAGGGGGCAAUGGAAUUCUUGGUGUAGCGGUGAAAUGCGUAGAUAUCAAGAGGAACACCUGCGGCGAGGGCGGGUUGCUGGGCCGACACUGACGCUGAGGCGCGAAAGCCAGGGGAGCGAACGGG